rnacentral:rRNA from 1 species
GUAGGGAAUCUUCCACAAUGGACGAAGGUCUGAUGGAGCAACGCCGCGUGAGUGAAGAAGGGUUUCGGCUCGUAAAACUCUGUUGUUAAAGAAGAACAUAUCUGAGAGUAACUGUUCAGGUAUUGACGGUAUUUAACCAGAAAGCCACGGCUAACUACGUGCCAG